UACGGAGGAUGCAAGCGUUAUCCGGAAUGAUUGGGCGUAAAGCGUCCGCAGGUGGCAAUGUAAGUCUGCUGUCAAAGCGUCUGGCUCAACCAGAUAAAGGCAGUGGAAACUACAUAGCUAGAGUAAGGUAGGGGUAGAGGGAAUUCCUGGUGUAGCGGUGGAAUGCGCAGAUAUCAGGAGGAACACCAAUAGCGAAGGCAGCUCGCUGGGACGGUACUGACGCUAAGGCGCGAAAGCGUGGGGAGCGAAUAGG
rnacentral:rRNA from 1 species